GACGAACGCUGGCGGCGUGCUUAACACAUGCCAGUCGAACGGAAAGGCCCUGCUUUUGUGGGGUGCUCGAGUGGCGAACGGGUGAGUAACACGUGAGUAACCUGCCCUUGACUUUGGGAUAACUUCAGGAAACUGGGGCUAAUACCGGAUAGGAGCUCCUGCUGCAUGGUGGGGGUUGGAAAGUUUCGGCGGUUGGGGAUGGACUCGCGGCUUAUCAGCUUGUUGGUGGGGUAGUGGCUUACCAAGGCUUUGACGGGUAGCCGGCCUGAGAGGGUGGCCGGCCACAUUGGGACUGAGAUACGGCCCAGACUCCUACGGGAGGCAGCAGUGGGGAAUAUUGCACAAUGGGCGGAAGCCUGAUGCAGCAACGCCGCGUGCGGGAUGACGGCCUUCGGGUGGGAAACCGCUUUCGCCUGUGACGAAGCGUGAGUGACGGUAAUGGGUAAAGAAGCACCGGCUAACUACGU
rnacentral:rRNA from 1 species